AUUUACCGAGUGCCCACUGUGUACCCCAGGCCGUGCCCGGCCGAGGAUGGGCAGGUCGUGGGGCACCCUUGCCCCGAGCCCUUGUCUCCUGGCUUCCAGAGAGGGGAGAAAACCGUCGUUCCUGGUCCUGAUGGGAGCAUUGAAAGAAAUGGGUCACUCAGCCCGUCGCCAGCACUGCCGUUCUGUUGGUUUUCAAACAGCAAGACCCCUAGGGUAGAGAUUCUUAAACCCUUCUAUAUCAUUCAUUUUGAAAAAUGUAGGGAAGUGCUGUGAGCCAUAGAGAUAAUGGUUUUGUUCAGGAAAACACCAGCACCUGCAGUUUCGUGUGUCAUUUCAGGGGGUUCAUGGAGUUCCUGAAGUCCACCUGGGGGAACCUCGUAGGGACUUCUAGGCAUAGAUGCUCACGUCAGUCAAAGCGCCCGUACUUUUUCAUUGUCUUACAUAUUUCACCUUCAAGAAAGAUCUUUGAUCCGCGUAUACUGCAGGAGAAUCGAGGGAGGAACACUCCACUAGGUGUAUCUGUAUUUCUAGUUCCAACAUUCUAUUUGUUUGAGUCCUUCCCAUCGAGACUACUUUCUAGUCUCAGGUUAAGCAUAACCAGACUGUCACCUGCAUGGUAGUGUUGUUGCGGAAACUGGUCUGGAUCACCCAGCAGAAGAACCAAGCGGCACUGGGAGAUCUUGGAAGGCAGGAGGUUUAUUUUACACCGGCAGGCUCAGAGGAGAUCAUUCUCCCGAGCAUCAGCAGCGGGGACAAUUUACAGUCUGUUGGAGCGGGGCAAGCGGGGUGGGAAGAAGAACCCAGAAGGAGAGUCUUCGGGCAAGGUCUGGAAUUCCCCUGUGAGUCCUGUCGGCCGUCUAGUAACAGAUUUUCCCCUAUCAGUGUGAGGGGCACCUUCUUACUCAAAUCCUCGUCAACCUUGUGGAACAUUCCCUUGCCUGCCACACUUGGCAAUUAGUUAGAAGCCAUAAACAACCUAAUGCCUAUCACCAGACCACUGGCCGAGUAAAUUUCGGUGAAUCUGCUCCAUGGACUGCGCUGCAUCUGUUGGAAAUGUGCCGUGGUUUUCCAUGUGCUAAUGUGCAGAGAUGGUCACUACAGAACUUGACUAAAAGCGUGUUUAUGGUACAAUAUGGCACUAUAAUCCCACGUUUGUAAAAAGUAUGAAAAAUAUUUUCAAAAUUCCAGUAUCUGAAGGGAGACAAGAAAUAACAUGGCACCUGUAGAAAGUAGAAUUAGAGACAGGGGCUGUGGUUUUCACUCUGUGCUCCAUACAUUUUUGUGGUUUUCAAUGAACACUUAAACUUUUUGUGACACUGGAAACAUAGUCCGUAAAUAUAUUCAACACGGGGCUUGAACUCAUGACCCUCAGAUCGAGAGUUGCAUGCUCUUAGGACUGGGCCAGCCAGGUGCCCCUGCUCAUUAUUCUUUAUAACAAAAACUUAAAUAAAACCUCAUUAACUGGAACGCUUUUUUUUCACUGCAGUGCAGAGGAGUAGGAAAAUGAUUUUUAAAAUGCAGACUGUGCCCACAGAGAAACACAUAUGUGAGAUUUUCAAAUAAUAUGUGAGGUUUGCCAAUACUGGAGAAACAGAACAGACCUGCCUCUGAAGUUAAACGCACAGCACAAACCUACCUCUAAACUUAAACACACGUACACGCACACACGCACACACAUGCUGCAGGCAUCAGGUUAAUGCAGAUACAGACUUCAGGUCUCAAGCCUUGACUCCCUUGAUGUCACACAACAGAAGCCACAAUUUAAAAAAAUUUGAGCUGAAAUGACGGUAAGACCACUUGCCCAGGAAGGUCUUAGUAUUUGCACAAGAGCCUUCACACAGGGCGUGACCUAGCUGUGCAUCCCCAAGCUCACGUGGCACUUCUGCUUCCUGGAGGGGGUGCCCUCGCACAUGGUCUCUGGGGCUGGCGGCAGAAGCACAGUGGACACUCCCCUCCCACCUCCCACCCCAAGGACCAUCCGCAGAAGACAGCAGUUAGAAACAGUUCUUAAUGCUGCAGGCGGUAGUUAGGAGAAAACAACCUUGUAAGUCAAAGCUAAAAUCAGACAUCAAAGACCACACAGAACAUUUUCCAAGAUUGACCUAGUGGUGGCAGGAGGGUAUCAAAACACCAAAAAUCAUAGCUUUGGAACUGCCGUGGGUGACACUUAACGGUUGAAGCUAACGUAUAUUAGCGCUAAAUUUAUGCGUGAUGUAAGAAUCCUGUGAGUGCCUCAUAUGCCUUCAUAGCACAGGCUCCAGGGCCAGACUGCCCCAGUGAGAAUACAGUGCCUUCCGUUAACCAGUUGUGUGGCCCUGGCUGAGUGAUGUACCUACCCACUUAUUCAGCCUUGAAAAAGAAGGAAAUUCUGAUACAUGCUAUAGCAUGGAUAAAUCUAGAAAGCGUUAUGCUAAAUGAAGUAAGCCAGACACAAAAGAGCAAACGUAUGAUUGUACCUAUAUGAUGUACCUAGAAUAUUCAAGUUCGUAGAGACAGAAAGUAGAGUAGUAAUGACCAGGGCCUGGGAGGGGAGGGGAGUACAGAGUUAUUUAGUGCUUAGACUUUCCGUCCAGGAUGAUGAAAAAGUUCUGGAGAUGAGUGCUGGUGAUGGUUGUACAAUAAUGUGAACGUACUUCAUGCCACUGAAUCGUACACUUGACAGUAGUUAAAAUGGUAAAUUUUAGGUUACAUUUUACCACCCCAAAAACCUAAAAAAUGCACAUACCCGUUGAUUCAGUUAUUCUAUUUCUAGGACUAUCCUCAAGAAAUUACUGGAUGUAUGUAAAGUCGCACCACGAGAUGUCCCUCACAGAAUUGUUCAUGAAACCAAGAAUUGAAAACAACCUAAAUGUCUACCAGUAGAAGAGACAGCAAGUACAAGUGCGGUAUGCCCAUCCUGUGGCAUACCGUGCAUCUGAUAAGAGUACGCAAGGCCUGUGCAUCUUGAUCCACGCGCACUGUUGUUAUUUUAAAAAACUGGGAAAAUGUGUAUCGCAUCAUACGUACACGUAACAAAUACAUAUACAUGUGUAAACACGUCAGGAAAUGGGUAGGAUGUACAGCCAGCUGUUACCUAUAAAAAGGAGGAAAAGUGAAACGAGGGGGUGAUGGAAAAGUUUCCCCAUUUGCUUUGUAUACAUCUAUAUUCUUUGAAUCUUGUACAAUGACUGUUUAUUUAUGUACUACUGUGGUUCUGGUUAUCUAUUGUUGCAUAACCAACACCCCAGAAGUUAGUGGCGUAAAAACAGCCUUUCUCCUCUCACAAUUUUGUGGUCAGGGUUUUGAGCAGGGCACGACAGGGACAACUCAUGUCUGCUCCGUGACUGGAGCUUCAGCUGGGGUGGCUCCCAUGUCCAGAGAUUGCUGGAAAGGAAUGGGAUACUUGACUGGGGUUAUGUGUCUCUGGCUUCAGUACUGGCUGUCUGCUGGUGACUCCUUGGUUCUUGCCCCCCUUGUGUCUGCUGGGACUGGAAUAUCCAAGUGACUUCUUCACCUGUGUGUGGCGUGCCUGCGCUGGGCUGUCUGGAACAGGUAGGUUGCUGCACGUCCGUCUCUGUCCGUGUGCAUAGCUUGGGCUUCCUCAUGGCAUGGCGGUCUCAAGAUAAUCAGCCUUGUUAAAUGGCGGCUGGUGUUCUCAGAGGUAGCAUUCCAGGAAGCCCCAGGUGGUGGCUUCAAGACUUCUUAGAUAGGCCCAGAAGGUCAUGUCCACUUCAUUCUGUUGCCCAAGCUUGUCACCAAGGCCAGUCUAGGCACCCCUUGUCAGUAAGUGAUAAGGAAUUUGCGGCCAUUUUUAACCUACCACACUUACGUGAUGUUAAAAGACUUUCAACAGGAAAUUCAACGUGACCCAUGACUUAUAGUGACCUUCAUUAAAGCAGAACACACCCA